GACGAACGCUGGCGGCGUGCUUAACACAUGCAAGUCGAACGGAAAGGCCCUGCUUGCAGGGUACUCGAGUGGCGAACGGGUGAGUAACACGUGGGUGAUCUGCCCUGCACUUCGGGAUAAGCCUGGGAAACUGGGUCUAAUACCGGAUAGGAGCCAUUUUUAGUGUGUUGGUUGGAAAGUUUUUUCGGUGUAGGAUGAGCUCGCGGCCUAUCAGCUUGUUGGUGGGGUAAUGGCCUACCAAGGCGGCGACGGGUAGCCGGCCUGAGAGGGUGGACGGCCACAUUGGGACUGAGAGACGGCCCAGACUCCUCCGGGAGGCAGCAGUGGGGAAUAUUGCGCAAUGGGCGCAAGCCUGAUGCAGCGCCGCCGCGUGGGGGAUGACGGCCUUCGGGUUGUAAACUCCUUUCGCUAGGGACGAAGCUUUUUGUGACGGUACCUAGAUAAGAAGCACCGGCUAACUACGUG
rnacentral:rRNA from 1 species